UAUGACUGUGACUGACUCCUCUCGGCCUCUUUUAUAUAUGUGGUGCCCCGCGGGCCGCGACACCACUCGCUCCGCUAGCUGCAGUGUCAUCAUCCCCAGCAAUAUUUUCCGAUGACGACAGCGGUAUCGACCGCUAAAGCACAACACGGACUCCGAAAUAUAGACAUACGAAACCACAGGGUGUUCACAUAUGCACCGCUUGCCAACACAUGCCUGUCCCCAAACGCAUUGUUUACUUACCAACCUAUACACAAUUGCCCAUAAACGCACCUGCUUAUCUCUCUAAGCCAAAACACGAUCAACAGCGGAACAAAAUGUUAUGAAAACAAAGCUGCGUCACCGCGUGACAGCUACACUAAGGAUUAAAAUCGAGUGUGAGCCAAUCUUAUUAAACAUGUCGGUUAGGUAGAUUAUUGUAUGAGCUUGAUGUGAGUUUGAUGUAAGACUCACACGCCUGACGUGUUACCCUCGUGAUGUCUGUAUGUAUGUCAUGCCUAUAUAAGAAGCAUUUAUUCAGGCUAGACCUCAGAUCAGCCAGCACUCUGCUCGUUUGCUGUACACCCAGUUGUCCUUCCCUUGACAACAUGGGCAGAACAUUCAUCUUUGCUACUGUUGGGAGUCUUCCCAAAAACAUCCCCAAAGAAAGCGACUUCGGAUCCCUCCACAUCAAUCUUGAGGAUGUCAAUGAUGCUGUUGAGGUGGCCGAGCCCCGCGAGGAUGUUGGCGUAGCGGUCCACCUGCGGGUGCAGCGAUGGUUGUCACGGGCCUGGCAAUAUCUCUCUCUCCUGUAGUUGGAGAGUGCGGGACACACAUGGCCUUACGUGGAUGACUCAUCGGCAAAGAAUCCAGCUGUCAGGCCUUCUCUGUCGAGACGGCAAUGCCCCACCCCGACACUCCAAUAGCUUUUUAUUCCAUGCCGAUUUUUUCAUAGAAUUAUCAAAAAGCAACAAUGCCAACUGACAAAGAAAAUUCUACUGAAGAUGAUGGUAUCAACAUAUUUUUGGUAAGUUAGAAAGGAAGGGAGGUAAGCAAGCUUUUAUACAAAAUCGUAGGCGAUGGACGAGUGGCUUCGUACUAAGUUCGUAGCGUAAAAGCACAUAAUAGCCUAACAUUACAGUUUAAUAAGUUCGUAUUAAAAUUUACUUACCUCCUUUUCUAACGUAUCGAUAAUCUGUUGACAUCAUCAUAUUCAGGAGAAUUUUCUUUAUCAAGUGGCACUGUUUGUUUUUACAGUAGCUUAAUAAUUCUAUGGAAAAUUGGCAUAGAAUAAAAAGUGGUAUAAACCGUUAUAACUCGUCUUUGAAUUCAACUCGCAUUAUAUCCUUUAUUUUUAGUCAGUUUGAGUUGUUUUUAUUACAGUCAUAAUCUGCAAUCUUUCUCCUGUCCAAUUAUGAAAAAGACGACAUGAGUUGGCUACGGAGCAUAAAAGUAAAACUUGUAAUGUGGCGAGGUCUGUUUCCAUGAUCGUCUCUCUCUCUCUCUCUCUCUCUCUCUCUCUCAUGCCCCUUGCUGCAUGGGACAUUCUAGGCUUUAUCAAACUCGUACAUGCUACUAUGCACAUAAACAUAUAAAAUGUCAAUGUAGAGCUGUUGAUCCAAAGUCAUUGCGGAGCACAGCAAAUACUACUGCAUUGACUAAUUAUAUACAGUAGUAGAGAGCAAGAAUGAUAAUUGUAUCGUCUUUGGUAGAGUAGCGGCGCAUUGCAUACCUCACAGUAAAAGUGGUACAUGGCAACUUUGCAUCCUUCAUCAUCAUUUUAACAGCGAUAUCUUUGGCUUCAGACUUAAGAAAAUGCUUUAAAAGUAUUUUUCAACUACUCCUUUUUGGAUUAUUGCUACUCACACACUGUUGUUAAUAAUAAGGCAACAAUAUAUUGAUUUUAUAUAUUUGUUACAUAUAAACUGUUUAUGACGUCAUUGUCCAAGCCCUUCCUGCGUCGUGACUGGCUCGGUCUGGCUGACACAUCUGACUGUUAAUUGGCUAGUUGUGGGUAUGGGACCGAGCCAGUAUACAGUUCCGAAUAAUGCUGCCCGGGCAGUCGGCGCACAGCCGGUACAGCCCAGCCAGCUGUUCAUCCUCCCUCUCAGGCUGGUCGAUAAAUGAUUACCUGGAGAAUGUAAACUACGGCGGCCCUGAUAUCACACUGGCCCUGUGUGUCGGAGUAAUGGGUUGGCCCUCGCCACAGGCUCAAGGGCCAAUGUGACGGAGAUGAGCACCGAGGCCACGCGCAGCUAAGGUCCUGUUCACACUGUACCGACUCUGGACCACGACAACCCAGCGACUCAGGGUACACGAGGUCUUGGGCGUGAAAUUUUGAUAUGAAAGGGUCGAACAUGGUCGGAAAGGGGUCUAGCAACGAUCGCCGGAUGCUGAGUCGGCACAGUGUGAAGUGGUCUAAAAGUCGCUGGGUUUUCGUGGCCCAGAGUCGGCAGUGUGAACGAGGCAUAAGCGUAUGCCUCCAA